rnacentral:rRNA from 1 species
GACAAACGCUGGCGGCGUGCCUAAUACAUGCAAGUCGAACGGGCACUCUUCGGAGUGCUAGUGGCGGACGGGUGAGUAACACGUAGAUAACCUGCCCCGAAGUGGGGAAUAACAUCUCGAAAGAGAUGCUAAUACCGCAUAAGCUCUUAGGUGAUAGCCUAAGAGGAAAGCAAAAGCGCAAGCUAAGUGCUUUGGGAGGGGUCUGCGGCGGAUUAGCUAGUUGGUGGGGUAAAGGCCUACCAAGGCGACGAUCCGUAGCUGGUCUGAGAGGACGAUCAGCCACACUGGGACUGAGACACGGCCCAGACUCCUACGGGAGGCAGCAGUAAGGAAUAUUCCACAAUGGGCGAAAGCCUGAUGGAGCGACGCCGCGUGAGGGAAGAAGGCCUUUGGGUCGUAAACCUC